rnacentral:rRNA from 1 species
AUGAAGGAAUUCGCUAUUAAGCCUCCUUGCAACAGAUCACCGCUUGCUCCAGGACAAGAGGCUGAUCCAACUAGUGUCUCAAGGGGUGAAGAAUUCCCCAAGGAAUGGGAAAGGCGUCAGGCCAAAUUGGCAAAACAAGCCGGUAAAGCUGUUGAAGAAUUCAACAGGGCAUCAAAGGCUUCAGCUGAAGCCGGUGCUAGCGCAAGCGCUCCAAAGGAAGCUAUGCAAAAGAAGCCUACACACAAGACGAAGCCAUCUGAUCCAAUGCCCUCAGUGGCCAAACCCAAAGCUUCAAUGGCUUCUGCUCCUAAGAUUUCAAAAUCUCCAGUGCCUCCUCCUGCUUCAAAUUCCUCAAUGGCAGCAUCAAAAGCUUCAACACCGGCCAUGCUUGCAUCUUGCCAGCGCAAUGAGGGCUUUCAAACAGCCUCUAUCGCAGCAUCAAGUGCCUCAGCUAGUGGGCAACCAAUGUCUUCAACACCAAAGCUUAAGCAAAAAGCUAUUGCUGGCCGUGGAACUAGGCUAAGUCCCAAGAGCAAGGUCGUUUGCCUCAGCUUGAUGAACAUGGGCACACUAACGAAGAUGAGAUCACGAAAUUCCUCAGAAGAAGUGAUGCGACCCCGUCUUCGGAGAAGACGGAGUACAAGGGGAGGUCCGAUCUUCACGGCGUAG